rnacentral:lncRNA from 1 species
CCCGUUUCAUCUCCUCCCCAAACCCCUCUCAGAGAAGACUUGUAACCCUAGCUGCCGCCCAACAAUUCCCUCGUCGCCACCCCAAACCGCCCCAAAAUUAUACCACAGACCCACCGUGACCUCCUCUCCCCAAAUCUCAAACCAACUUCCCUCGAAUCUAUGUGGAACUCGUCAAAUUUUGAAUCUGAAGCGUGAGUCCUUGAAGCCAAAUCCAAACUCGUUUAUGCAGAGUUAUUGCUCCAGUUAUCAUGAGCUUUUAGGGUUGAUUUUGAUGUUAUUUGGGGAUGAAAUCGGAGUGUCAAGUCCCAGGUUCGAGCUUUAGUCAGUGAGUUUUCCUUCAUUUCUUUGUUCAUCUCUUCUUCUUUUUCUUUGGUGGAUUCAAUUGAAACUCGAUUAAUUUUCUGAUUGAGAGUAGGUAAUGUUCUUGUGUUCUUCAUCAGUUUUAUUUUCUCAAACUUGUUUCUUUGACUUCUUUAGUCCGUUAAACAUGAUUUUUUUAGCACCUCUGUUUAAUUAUUCCAAACUCGCUUAGGGUUAAUUCUGCUUUGUCAAUCUUGUUAUUAUUGGUCUUUGUCUUCUUUUUAAUUCACAAGGGUCAAGGUAAUAGUCAGCCAAGAAGCAAAUUGGUCAUUUUUGUUACUGUCAUUUAGUUUUGUUAGGGCUUGAGUCAGAAGUUGAGUUUUGAAUGUUCAUUUGGAUUGGUCUAGAAUCAGCUGUGGGCUCUUUGAGUCAUUUAUGACCCAGCUCAAAGAUGCUCGGUUGUUAUCAGCCCAGUUUUUGUUUGAUUAGCAAGGUAAAUUCAGGAUCGUUAAUAGGUAGACCACUGUGGGAAUCUUUUGCCAACUAUUUAAGAAGCUUCUGGAAGUUGAAAAUAAACUUGCUUGGCGAGCAAGUCAAAAUUUGAGGGAUUGCUAAAUAAAAAAAAUAAUUCAAAAAGGACUAAAAUGCAAAAUUAAAAUUUUAUUGUUUACCCCAGUUGCUUGCCCAUAAAGGCAUUACUCUAAGCUGAAUUCAGAUUUUGAGGGCUAAAAAUCCAAAAAUAAAAAGGGCGGCUGAAACUUCUCUUAAAAUACUGUUCCAUUGGUUUCUUUGCUGGGUUUUGUUGAAGUUUGAGUCUCUGAAGUAACCUUGAGUCAUUUUGGGGUUAAAAUGAGUUGAAGUUUAGUCAUUUUAAAGCUGGUUUAAGUUUAUAAAGAAAAUACUGUUAUAUUGAGGUUUCUGCUGGGAGUUUUGGAAUUUCUCAUUUUCUGGAUGAUAUUCAGUUCCAUUUGAGUUUUAAAAAUGGAUUUCUGUUGCUGACAAUUUCUGAGCUGUGGUUGUUUAUUGUUGCCUCAUUUCCAUAUUUCUUUUCAUUUUCAGGUACACAUUUCUUAGAUCUACCUAAUGUAAAGCUUGAUUCGAAGUUGAAAUGGAAACCUGGAACAUAAUGUCAAUCUGUUUUUCCUCCUUUUGUUCAUAUUUUAGUUUAAUUUGUUUUAAAUACAGUAUUUGAGUUGUAUGAUGUAUUGCACUUUGCUGGAUGUUUCGUAUUACUAAGAACUACAUGUGGUCUGGGCCUAGUGGGAAUUCAUUUCUCUAUCAAACAUCUCAUGGCUAGAUGUGGGUUGUGACAAAUGAACUCAUACUAUGGUACUUGAUUUUGGACUGUCGAAUUUGAUGGAAAUCUAUUUAAUUUAAUCAUUUGUUAGAGUCUGUGUCAACUAUGUUAGUUAGAUUUUAUAGUAGUGUACUUAGUUUAAAUGGAUUCUUCCCAUAUUGAAAUCACGCAGGUGUCACUGCUGCAGUAGGUGCAGAACUGGUAGUUUGCUGAAAUGUAUUUUUGAUUACAAUAAUUGUCUUCUUAGCACUCAUGGAGCUUGAGAGUUAUUAAGGUGAUUAUAUGCUAUAUAGUAACAUUGUCUUUAUUUGCAAGUGUUGAAAGUAUAGAUGACAUCUAAGAUUAGCAUUAAGAUAGGUAACCAUGCCAAGUUAUGUUUUAGUUUCACAUUCAGAAGAAAAUGACGUUUGUGCUCUCCGAAUUUUGUAUAACUGCUAGGCAAUGGUUUGCUGCGUAUAGGCAAAUUGAUAAGGUUUAAAUAAUUUCUUAUAGGUCCAGUUGAUUGAAGUUCUUUUUUGAAUUCGAAUUAGUAGUGUGCGUUGAUUAAUAUUCAUGAUAGUAUUGGAUGUUGAACAAUCAGAAUAAGUCAAUGUCGUGUGGCUCUUAAGAUCAAAGCAUUAGAAUUGGAACUUGUAAUUAUUACUAUUAGUAAAAUUUAGAAAUUCUUUUGCUUAUUGUUAACUAGUACAACUGGAAUUCUUGAUUGCCUUUGAAUCACUGCUGGAUGCCAUAUAACCGGUUAUAGAUGAGUUAAAACAAUUCCAAAGUUGCUUGCAUAUGUGCUAGUCUCGCUCUUGGGCUCAUUUUGAAUUCAUUGGCAACCUCAAACGAUGUUCAUGCAUGGUGGGGUUUGAUGUUGGGUUUUGACCCAGCAGCUGCAAGGUCCUUAAUUUGGGCUCAUUUUUGAGGCCCCGUUCUGCAUGUUUCCGUGAAUAAAAGCCUGACCACUUCUUUUGGUUAGGAUACCGCUCCUUUGUGUUGGCCCGAGUAUUUUAUGUAAUGAAUUAGUUUUACCUCAUGUGAACCAUCCUAGUUAAUUUAAAGAGAAUCUUCAAUUACAUUUAGUAUUGAUUAAUCAUACUAUUAACUAGCUGAGGCGAGCCAUAUUCAAUAACCAACAUAGUUUAUGGCCCUCAUGAGUUAGUUUACAGACCUUUUAAGUAGAAUAAUUUAAAGUGCGCCAUGCCGACCAAAAAUGACAAUUUCAUGUCCCUCGCUUUAAUUAAUUUUAAACUCAACCUUAGAAUUCGAGGCGUGCCAUUUAGAAAAAUUCCAUGGCCCUCACAAAGCUAAAGCGCGUAGUUGUUUUAGGCACGUACUUUAAUAACAGUACCUUCCUAAAAUCGGGUGUGCAUUUCAUGUGAUCCAAAUCCAAAAAAUCCAAAUCUUAAUGACAUUGAAUAAAAUGUGCUUUGGAUUGCGGGUGAAUUUCAUGUGGCGUGGUCCAAAGACAUAUUUUAGACGAUGUUAAUUCUUCUUUAAAAUGAACAAACGCGGUUGAAAUUAAAAUGCAAUAGUUUCAAAAUGUCCUUAAAAUUAGAUAAUUAUGCCAAUUAUAGCAGUUGAGCGGCCGUGGUAGAAUGACGGAACUCGGGAGUGCCUAACACCUUCCCCCGUGUUAAUAGAAUUCCUUAUCCGGAUUUAUGGUUUGCGGACUGUAAAACAGAGUCAACCCUUUCCUCGAUUGGUGAUGUGAACCGGUGACUUGGGACACCAUAAAUCUCCCAUGUUGCGACUCUGAAUCUUUUAAUAUAAGUAAAUGCCCUUUUGAUUGUCCUUUAAUUAGAAAAACUCCCUUAACUACUCCUUUCAAGGGGUGUAGUGCAAAAAGGAGGUGUGACAGCUUUGGCGACUUCGCUGGGGAUCGAACCCAGAAUAUCUGGUUCAUGAUUCAAGAAUUCGAGCUUAGAAUGAAUUGUUAUAUUUGACUUUAUUUAUUGUCUGGUUUUAUUUAUAUAUUUGGGCAUAAUGUUCUAAAUGUUACUUUUUACCGCUUUGAUAUUGUUUAACUGUAUAUAAACUGCAAUGAAAUCCCUCCUCUCUCUGAGUCUUCUAAAUCAUGAAGAAGUGUGCACUUCAUGUGACUUCUUUUCUAUUAGUGCUAUAUCCCAAAUUUUAGAAUGAGGGUCGGAAAAGUUGCAAAGUCGGCGAAGCUUCUGUAUUAACGGUAUGCUGCCCCCUUGGCUCGAGUUGUCCGCUCGGGUAAGCCAGGUCUAGAACAAUAAAUCCAGGGUUUUAAACCUAGAAUAACUCAACCUCAUGUCAGAUCCCCAGUAGGAAUAUCUGUUUGUAUCAUGUGCAUAUGACUUAGGGGACUCAGCACAAGGGUUGGAUCCGUCUACGACAGAAGUAUCAAGAAUCAAAGACCAUCAUGAUGCAUAUUUUACGUGCUACUUAUGUAUUUAUUUGCUUCGAGUUUGCAUGCUGAACGACUUUUGAAUGAUGGGAGAAAGUUAGAAGAAGGAAAUAGUAGUGUAAGGGUUAAGUGAGUUAAUCACCUGUUUUGAAGAAAAACCAAUGUCCAAAUUAUGCUGAAACUCUGUCGAAUUUUUGAGAAAAAUGAAAAAAAGAAAAACAAAGAAGAAAAGGUUUUGUUUUCAAAAAUACUUGGUUUUGUUUUACUUUCACUAACUACACAGUUUGAUUCUCAUAGGGUGUGAGAUACGUAGGCAACCCCGUCGGGUCAAACUUCUCUUUUUGCAAAUAUAGCCCAAAAGAACAAAAUAUUAUUUUAAAUAAUUAAGGUGAUACCGUUCUUGUCAAAACUAGUCGAAUGUCCCUCAAAAGGGCACCAGAAGGUUGUUUUUGCAAGAACAACCACCUUUAGGCAUUUUUCAAGGUUUUGGCCGGUUAGUCGACACAACCUUAAAAUCUUCAUUUUCGAAGUGCUGAAAGGCCGUAUUGGCAAAGCUGGAUAUUUAUGUGAAAAUUUUGAAAAAAUGGUAAUUUUUCUUAAGUCAAAAUAAGUCAUAGUUUCUUUUAAUUAAAACCACCUUAAUAAAUGUGCAGGAUGAGCACAAAUCAAAAUGAACCUUUUUCAGUCUCUGAAGAGAUUCCUUUGGAUCUACGUAUGUGGUGGCAUGAUUUGGGUGACAAAAGCAUUGGGUGGUCUUUCCGUGCUCUUGAAAGUUAAGCCGAGAUGGACGUAAUUGAGGCACUGAUACCAUUCUAGGACCCAUCACGUAAUGUAUCCACUUUGCUGUCUUUGAGUUAACUCCUACACUGGAAGAGAUAGCAGGCUACACCAGUUUCUAAGGGAAUCUUAGAAAUCAAUACCCGGUAGCACCGAGAAUAGUAACCCUCACAAAUAUUUGGACUUGUUAAGCAUCAAUUGGGACGUCAGAGAUGGAAAUUUGGCCAAGGGAUUCUGUACCUUCUACUUUUUGUACCGAAGUUACGGGAAUCCCCGUGGCUUUGAGAUGCUAGAUACCGGUCUUACUCACGCGGGAAACCAAGACAAGUGGAAAGCUCAGAGAGGAUUGUCUUUUAUAAUGGCGUUCCUGGGUGUUUUGAUUCGUCCAAGAAAAGACGGGAAUAUAGAGUUGGGACUCGUGGGGAUAGCUGACUUUAUGAUGAAAAAGGCAAAUGGGACCAUAGUGCCGAUGAUCUUGGUAGAUUUUUAUCGAGCUAUGACUCUUUGUCGAGAAGGAAGAAAGUUCUUUGAAGGGUGCAAUAUGAUGUUACAACAGUGGAUGGAGGAAUACCUUUGCCAUCGCCCGGGAUAUCUGAAUUGUGGUAUGGCUGGUCUCGAAUGCAUCGAAAAACAUGAAAAGCGGGUAGAUGGUUACGAGUUCCCGGAGGGUAGAAAAGCAUGGCAUGCCCACUUGAGAUCCUUGACUGCCACAAAUAGAAUGGACGUUCGGGUGGCUCUCGGUUGGUGAAGUGAUCUAUAUAUCGGUUGAAGAAUGUUUCUGCUAUUGAUGGUUCUUCGGAGUAUCCAGCCUUAUGUUCCGCACAGAGCCCUUCGUCAGUUAGGACGAUACCAGACCAUCCCCCACGAUGAAGAUUUGAGUCGGCAUGUCACUGAGAUAGAACCAAAAUCUGCCUUUCCAAAAGAAAAAGUGCACCAGAUUUGGCAUCAUUGUAGAUUCUUAGAGCUUAAAACUCAAGUACGAGAUCUAUCUAGAGAUGAGUUGAAGCCUGGUUACCCUACUUGGUAUGGUAAAAGAUCCCGAGUUCAUCAAGAGCCUGAAAGGCCCGCGAAGAAACCCCAUGUCCAACAGUUCACCCACAGAGCAUAGGUAAAGUGGGCCUGGUUGGCCUAGGAAAACGAGUACAAGGCCACAAUAGAAAAGUUGGAAAGGAAAAUUAAAGAUCUUCAAUUCGAGAAUGGUCUGCAAGCCGCGACAGAUGAGGGUGAAAAGAAAAUACUAGCUAAUGAAAAUGAAUCCCUUCAAGUCCAGAUUCAGAAAAUGAAAAUAGUGGUAGAUAAUCCCACCAGAAAUGUAAAAGACGAAAAGCUCAUAGACAACCUGAGACAGAAAGUAGAGGAAUAUAGUUUUGAAUUGAAAAAAUCAGAGGAUGAACAAGCCAGGACCCGAAAGCAAUUGGCCAAAAAUACGAAAGAACAAACAGCAUGAUUGAACAGUUGAAAGAAAAGUACAACAAUGAGGUUGCGGGAUUGAAGAAGAGGUUUAUCACUGUUGAAAACAAAAUGGUUAAGCAGGCAAAGGACUGUAAGGAUGAAAGAGACCACUGUUACACAACAAUGGCACAACUAGAAAGAUAUUUUCACUAAUUUCAAGAACUGAAUCGGGUAGCCGAACAAACUUUGGAAGCCAUGGCCCAACAGAUUGGGCGGUUGUUGCAUGAAAAAGGUGUCAUAAGAGAGAGAGCGUUUGGAGGAUCGCUAAUUACAUCGCGAUAUGUGCAGUAGUUGUGAAUAUAUGACUAGAUCCAUAUUUUUUGCCACCACAAUGACUUUGUCCGUCAUGUAAUUGAAGACCUCCACCACCUCCAAGGGGAUUUAGCAAGCAAGUUUGCGGCGAGAUCGAAUGAUGUCCUGCAGGCCCCAGGAGCACUAGAGGCACUAAUGUAUUCAUUAUUGUCAUUAGAGUUUGUUAGUCUAUUUAUGAAGUUUGUAUUUUCUUUUAUUGAAGUUUGUUAGGGUUUGUUAUUUUUAGAGUUUGUUUUGAGUCGAAGUCUGUCAAUUUCUCUUCUCGGGUUUGUUAGUUUGAUAAUUUGGUGGUUGUAAUCAAAACUGUUCUACUUUAUGAAAAUUUAAAUUCCCAAAAAUAUUUUGUUUCUAUAUUUAUCUUCCAGAACACGCUCGGUCUGAUUCAUGCGGGGUCAGAAUACGUAGGCAAUCUCUAUAGGAUUCGACCAUAACCAAAAAGAAAAAGAAUAAGAAAAUAAGGAAGAGAGAGAAAAGAAAAGAGAGGAAAAAAAAAAGAAACCGUGAGAGGGAACAACGACAAAAUAAUAGAGAAAAUAAUAAAAACAAAGAGGAAGCCGUCAAAAACAAGCUGAAUAAAAGAGAAAAGAACAAGAAAGAAAAAGAAGAGAGAAGUUGUAUAUAAGCUGAAAUAACAAAUGGCUGAAAUGUACCAAGCAUGGGUAAAGGGGCAACCACCACCAGCUUAUCUCACCAACCCUGCCUUCAUCCCACAAUUAGCCCAGUCGCAUGAUCAUCCUGCCACUGAUCGGCCCCUAAGCUUUCCCAUCUACCAACACUACUAGGGCACGACUUCCUAGACACCACCAGCUCUACCACCCAAACCUGUUCCACACCCUCCUCUACCAGUUGCUCCUAUCUUUGUGGCAUCCCCACCCGCGACACUCUACAGAUCUUCCAGCAAACCUUUGUUCCAAACCCGUGAUAGCCAGUAUUACCCCCCCGGAGCCCACUUUUAAAGCUCCGGAACCCUAUUCAUACACUCCUCAUUUUGAUCUCCAUACAGAACCUGAGAAACCAGCCAAAAAUCUCGAGCAAAAGGAGAUGCUUAAGAAAGUCAAAAUAUUAGAGCAAUCAUUUAGAGACAUGCGAGGGCUGGGAGGUCAAGUAAGUGUGGAGUACAAAUAUCUAUGUUUGUUCCUAGAUGUACAAUUGCCGGCAGGAUUUAAGAUGCCCAAGUUUGAUUUAUACGACGGGCAUGGUGAUCCAGUAGCACACUUGAUAGGAUUUUGCAGCAAAAUAAGGGGGGCUGGAGGAAAAGACAAGUUGGUAAUGGCAUAUUUCAGUCAAAGUCUAAGCGGUUCAGUAUUACAAUGGUAUACCCGGCAAGACCACGAAAGGUGGUAUAUGUGGGACGAUUUAGCCUAGGCAUUUUCUUGCCACUUUCAAUACAAUCUUGAAAUUAUUCCAAAUCGUUUGUCCUUGAUGAAACUUGAGAAAAAGCACAAUGAGAGUUUUAGGGAGUACGACUUCCAUUGGAGAGAGCAAGCAGCGAGGGUCGACCUGCCAAUGAAAGAAAGUGAAAUGGUAGAUUACUUUUUGCAGGCCUUGGAGCCUACUUAUUUUUUCACUUGGUAUCGGUGGUAGGCAACUCCUUUAAUGAAGUGGUAAAAAUGGGAAGCUUGGUAGAUGAGGGGCUCAAGUCUAACAAAAUUAUGAGCUAUUCAGCAAUCAAAGCAACCACCUAGGCCAUCCCAAGUGGAACUGGGGGAGUGAUUGGAAAGAAGAACAAAGAGGAGGUAGCAACAAAUGACUCAGGAGCUUGGUUCGGACCCAUGGGUCUAUCACAUCACAACCAGCCUCGACCCCAUCACCAAACCUACCCCCACACUCCAUAUAACCCACCACAAUACUACUAUCCACCCCGAAACCUCGUUUUUUGUCUAUCAUGCACAGACAUAACUCAACCUUUCACCCAUGCACAAUGGCAUACGCCAACCCCACAAAAUACUUACCCAGCUCCACAUAAUGCUUAUCCACCUCCAAGAGACUACCAAAACCCACUGAGACCAAACUUUCGGUCCAACCAAGCCUUUAAGAAUGAGAGAUUGCAGAAGAAGAAGACAUUCACUCCAUUGGGAGAAUCAUAUAACAGCUUAUUCCAUAGGUUGAGACAGUUAGAUAUGUUGAGGAUGAUUGAAGCAAAGUUACCGAAUCCUCCCCCAAGGAAUCUUGAUUAUUUUGUCAGUUGUGAAUAUUGUUCUGGCGCUCCAGGGCAUGACACAGAGAAAUGUUGGCAUCUGAAAAACGCUACCCAAGUUCUCAUUGACUUGCAUCGGAUCGAGGUGCAAGUUCAGGAAGCACCCAAUAUUAACCCGCUGCCCGCCCAUCAAGAAAUGAACAUGAUUGAGAUAGUGCACAAAGAAGGGGAGCCCAAAAAGUCUUCGCAAACUGUCAUGAUGAUCCGAUCCAGUAAGGGGAAGCCAGUUGAAAAACUAACAAGCGAGAUGUCAAUAAUCAAGUUGAGUGGAACAAGUAGUGAGCGUAGUCAAGAAGGGGUCCUCAGCAGAUGGGACAGUGAAACAAGAAUAUGCAAUGGUAGUGGUAUCAGGGGUAGCAAGCAAGCCCAUUGUUGCUGUGGAAGGUGCUCGUAUAGAGCCUGUCAUCAUCAAACCUGUAACUCAGCUACCAAUAAUCAACAACAGGGCCGUCCCUUGGAAUUACGAGCGAGUUAUAGUGACUUACAAAGGGAAAGAGGUCAGAGAAGAAGUCUGCGAAACCCAUGGAUUGACUCGUUCAGGGAGGUGCUUUCCCCCGAGGAGUUGAGAAAGACUAAAACCUCCAAGGACAACCCAAUAUUGGUGAAGAAUGCUGUAAAUAAAGAGGAAGCCAAGAAGUUUUCUGAAAAAGAUGAAAGUGCAAGACUAUUAUAUUGUGGAACAAUUGAGGAAGACGCGUGCUCAUUUUACUGUUGUCAUUGUUAAUUCAUUCGGACGAGCACCGUCAGGAACUGAUGAAGAUCCUGAAUGAGGCCCACGUUCCUGUCAAAAUUUCAAUAAAUCACCUAGAAAAGAUAGCCAAUAAGAUCUUCAAGGUAAAUAGAGUCACCUUUUCGGAUGAUGAAUUGCCCGUAGAGGGUACUGAGCACAAUAGAGCCCUUUAUCUCACGGUGAAGUGUGAAGAUUCUGUGGUUACCCGGGUAUUGGUCGACAUUGGUUCAAGCAUAAAUAUUUGCCCUCUCCCUACUCUGAACAAGCUGAAGGUGGAUGAUGAAAGAUUCACAAGAAUAGUAUUUAUGUACAAGAGUUCGACAGUAGAGGUAAAGAUUCGAUUGGUGACAUAGUACUCGAGAUGAUAAUUGGACCAGUUGAUUUUACCAUGGAAUUCCAAGUAUUAGAUGUGGCUGUAUCUUACAAUCUGCUGUUCGGAUAACCCUGGAUCCAUGCCGCUAAAGCGAUCCCCUCUACUUUACAUCAAAUGAUAAAAUUUAAAUGGGAUAGACAAGAAAUAGUUGUGCAUGGUGAGGACAAUCUGUAUGCUCAUAGUGACGCCAUCGUACCAUUUAUUGAGGCUGAGGAUGACAAGGGGCCUCGAGUAUAUCAGGUUUAUGACACAGUAUCGGUAAAGAAUAUUCCAGAAGGGGAGUGCAUUCUAGUGCCGAAGGUAGCUGCUGCAUUGGUCAUGGUGGCCGUUGAAAUUUUAAUGAAUGGUUUUGUCCCAUGAAAAUAUUUGAGUAUGUUGCUUCAAGAUAUUGUACAAUGGUGUCUAUCCCCAAAAAUAUGGACACCUCUGGUUUGGGAUUCAAGCCUACAAUUGCAGACAUAAAGAGAUUCAGAAGGAGGAAGCAGAAAGCAUGGGUCCUUCUAAAGCCUGUGCCGCGUCUCUUCAGAUCAUUUGCUAGGCCCGACACCAAGAAGUGUCGGACAACAACAAGUUCCAGUUCUAUGGUUGGUCCUGAUAAGGAAUUGCUUGAAAGGUUUGAGAAGUUGUUUGAAGAUGUAAAUAUGGUGGAAGUUGGAGAGGGUUCUAGGAAAGCGGAUGUGCAAUUUGUAAGGCCAAUCCAAGAUCAACAAUUGGGAAGCUACUCCUCCCCCCGAACAGGAAGGAGUUUUGGUAGUUUACUUUUAUAUUCUUUCAGUUUAUCUGGAUUAUUCCAGGGUUGUAAUUCAGAUUCUAUGCUCCAUCCGCUUUGAUGUAUAAACCUUGUUAUCUUUCAAUUUCAAUGAAAUGCAAUUCCCCUUUCCAUCAGUUUUGAUAGUUUUUUUUUCUUUGCUUUUCUUUUCCUUCUUGUACAGUUCUUUUUGUGCUAGUUUCAAUGACAUGACAUGCAUAAGGAAUCGUCGGCCCAAUCUUGAGAACCAUAGAAGCUGGAGAGGGCUCUUGCAAGGCUGAUGUGCAAUUUGUUAGGCCCUGUGCAAAGAUCAACAAUAGAGAAGCUACUCCUCUCCCGACCAGGAGGGAGUUUUGGUAGUUUGCUUUGAUUUUCUUUCAAUAUAUCUGAUUACUCAAGGGUUGUAAUUCAGAUUGUAUAUUCCGUCUGUUUGGAUGUAUAAACCUUGUUAUAUUUCAAUGUCAAUGAAAUGUAAUUUCCCUUUUCAUCAUUUCCGAUAGUUUUUAUUUUCUUUGCUUUUCUUUUCCUUCUUAUAUAGUUCUUUUUAUGCAGGUUUCAAUGACGCGAUAUGCAUAAGGAAUCGUCGGCCUAGUUUUGAAAGCCAAUCUAAUUCAGAAAUAAUAAUUCAAAAGAUAGAAUGUGAUGAUGAGUCAGAGUACGAUGCAGAUAGAGCUUUUGAAGAAAUAAGUAAAGAAUUAAGCCACUUUGAGGAAAAACCCAAGCAAAACCUGAGCGAUACAGAAGCAAUCAAUCUAGGGGACCUAGAUAACAUCAGAGAAACUAAAAUAAAUGUCCAUCUUGAGCCGCAUUUUAGGGAAGAGAUAAUCAAAACAUUGCUUGAAUACAAAGAUAUUUUUGCAUGGUCUUAUGACGACAUGCCAGGUCUAAGCACGGACUUGGUGGUCCACAAAUUGCCACUGACCCGGCAUGACCUCCCGUCAAACAGAAGUUAAGGAAAUUUAAAACUGACAUGAGAGUAAAGAUCAAAGAGGAAGUCACAAAGCAGUUUGAGGCAAAGGAUAUCCGAGUCACACGGUAUCCCACCUGGUUUGCCAAUGUUGUGCCUGUGCCAAAAAAAUAUGGUAAGACCAGUGUGUUUGUCGAUUAUCGUGAUCUCAACAAGGAGAGUCCAAAGGACAACUUCCUACUGCCGAACAUCCAUAUAUUGAUUGAUAAUUGUGCAAAACACGAGAUUGGUUCUUUUGUGGAUUAUUACGCAGGCUAUCACCAGAUCUUGAUAGAUGAGGAAGAUACAGAAAAGACGGCAUCCUCGGGGAACAUACUGCUACAAGGUCAUGCCUUUCGGUCUGGAAAAUGCGAAGGCAACUUACAUGUGGGCAAUGGCAACCAUUUUCCAUGACAUGAUGCACAAGGAGAUCGAGGUCUAUGUGGGUGAUGUAAUUAUAAAGUCCAGGAAGUAGUCUGACCACGUCAGAGAUCUGAGAAAAUUCUUCCAAAGACUCCGUAGGUAUAGUCUCAAGCUCAAUCUUAUAAAAUGCGCAUUCGAUGCACCUUUUGGAAAGCUGUUGGGAUUCAUAGUCAGCCUCGAGGUAUUGAGCUAGACCCAUCAAAGAUUAAAGCUAUUCAAGAAUUACCACCUUCGAAGAACAAAACUGAGGUGAUGAGUCUGUUGGGGAGAUUGAAUUACAUCAGCAGGUUUAUUGCUCAGCUCAUGACAGCUUGUGAGCCUAUCUUUAAGUUGUUGAAAAAGGAUGCUGCGGUCAAAUGGACGAAGGAAUGUCAGGAGGCAUUUGAUAAGAUAAAGGGGUGCUUUUUUAAACCACCUGUGUUGGUCCCACCAGAACUAGGGAGGCCUUUGAUUCUGUAUCUAAGGGUGUUGGAAAAUUCAUUCGGAUGUGUAAUGGGUCAGCACGUUAUCACUGGCAGGAAGGAGUAGGCCAUCUAUUACCUCAACAAGAAGUUCACAUCUUACGAGGUUAAGUAUACUUAUCCUGAGAGGACAUGUUGCACCCUAACUUGGUAGUGCAGAAGUUGAAACAUUAUUUGUCAUCUUAUACUUCUUGCCUCGUUUCUCGCUUAGAUCCGUUGAAGUACAUCUUCAGAAGCCUAUGCCCACAGAGAGGCUUGAAAAGUGGUAGAUUCUGCUCAUAGAAUUCAACAUCAUCUAUGUGACUCAGACUGUGAUGAAAGUACAGGCAUUGGCUGACCAUUUAGCUGAGAACCCGGUGGAUGAAGAAUAUGAACCUCUAAAGACAUACAUCCCAGAUGAGGAGGUGAUGCAUAUUGAUGAAUAAGAACAUGUCGAAAAACUAGGAUGAAAACUUUUCUUUGAUAGGGCUGCCUAUAUGAAAGACAUUAGGAUAGGAGCAGUACUUAUUUAUGAAAUAGGGCAUCACUACCCCGUUACAGCUUAGCUUAGUUUCUAUUGCACUAACAAUAUGGCAAUGUCAUGCAUUUUGGGUCUGAGGUUAGCUACAUAUAUGGAUGUCUAGGAAGUCUUAGUUUUGGGGGACUCAGACCUUUUGGUACACCGAAAUCAAGGGGAAUGAGAAACACGAGAUUUGAAGCUCAUACCGUACCGACAAUGUCUGCAUGAUCUUUGUCAACUAUUUCAAUCAGUAGAGUUCAGGCAUAUUCCAAGAAUCUACAACGAGGUUUCUGAUGCUUUGGCUACAUUGGGGUCAAUGUUACAUCAUCCAUAUAAGGCUUAUGUUGACCCGCUACACAUCCAAGUCCAUGAUCAACAUGCUUACUGUAUGUGGUGGAAGAGGAACUUGAUGGUGAACCUUCAUUUCAUGAUAUCAAAGAAUAUAUCAGGAUGGGGGUGUAUUUAGUACAAGCCACAAGUGAUAAAAAAAAACAAUUCAUUGCUUAUCAAGCGGAAUUUUCUUUAGUGGAGGGGUAUUGUACAAAAGAACGGUAGAGUUUCUGGACCGCAUAUGAGUGGAUAUGUUUUGGCAAAGAAGAUUCUCUGAGCAGGUUAUUAUUGGCUCACCAUAGAGCGAGAUUGUAUUAGUUUCAUGCACAAAUGUCAUCAGUGUCAGGGGCACAUAGAUUUGAUUCAUUCCUUACCAUCUGAAUUACAUACAAUGUCUGCACCAUGGCCCAUCGUUUAUUGGGGCAUGGAUGUCAUUGGGUCCAUCGAGCCAGCAACAUCCAAUGGGCACAGUUUCAUUCCGGUGGCCAUUGAUUAUUUCACUAAGUGGGUUGAAGCUAAAACUUUCAAGUCUGUGACUAUGAAAGCCGUGGUCAAUUUUGUGCUCCGGUUUGGGAUAUAAAAUGUAAUCAUCACGGAUAACGGGGCAAAUCUCGAUAGUCAUUUGAUGAAAGAGGUAUGUCAGUAGUUUAAGAUUACACAUCGCAAUUCCACCCCAUAUCGCCCUAAGGAAAAUGGAGUUGUCGAGGCAACCAACAAAGACAUAAGGAAGAUACUUUGAAAAAUGGUAGAGGUCUCCAGGCAAUGCCAUGCGAAGCUACCCUUCGCAUUGUUGGGUUAUCGCACUACUGCUUGCACUUUGGUAGGGGAAACUACAUAUUUGUUGGUUAAUGGCACAGAAGCGGUGAUACCAGCAGUUAUUAAAAUCUCAUCCCUUCGGAUUGUCGCUGAGUCAAAAUUGAUGAUAACGAGUGGGUCAAAACCCGCCUGGAGCAAUUGAGUUUGAUUGACGUGAAAAGAUUAGCAGCAGUGUGUCAUGGCCAGUUGUAUCAAUGGAGAAUGGCCAGGGCAUAUAACAAGAAGGUGCACCCACGGAGGUUUGAAGUGGGUCAAUUGGUAUUGAAACGUAUCCUCCCUCAUCAGGCAGAGGAAAAAGACAAGUUCUCCCCAAAUUGGCAGGGGGCGUUCAUCGUGACGAGAGUGUUGUCCAAUAGGGCUUUGUAUUUAACAGAUGUAGAAGGCAAAUGUGUAGAAAUGGACAUCAAUUCCGAUGAGGUUAAGAGAUACUAUGUAUGAUUUUCUUUGGUUAAAUUAUAUUUAUUUGUACUUGGAAUUUUUUGGAGAUUGGAAUGACGAAGGCAUUUUGUUCACCUAGCUAAACACUUUAUCCUUUGUUACCCUUUUUGAGCCUUAUUUGUUUUCUUUCAUACCCCUCUUUCGUAAUCAGUAGCAAAAUCAGAAGCGCAAGCGUGAAAGAUAAGUAAAGGAAAGAGAAAAGAAAAUAAUAAGAAGAAAAAAAAGGAUAAAAGAAAAAAAAGAGAAGAAAAGAAAAAAAGGACAACAGAAGAAGAAAAAAACAACAAAACAACAAAAAGAAAAAGAAGAAAGAAAAGAAAAGAAUAGAGAGAGAGAGAGAGAGGAAGAAAAAAAAGAAGAAAAAUCACAACAACAAUGUAAUUUUUUAUGACAUGAACUACGUUCGAGCUGAUUCCUUUUAAGGACACGUAGGCAGCCUCAUUGUUCGGUCCCAAUAAAAUAAAAUUCAAAGGUCCCCAAGCAAGAAACUGGGACAGAAGUUGUGGAAGUUUGAUUCCAGAGGUUGUAAUUUUGAACCCAUUUGAAUUGUUUUGAGCCCUUGAAACCCUUUAUUUCUAACCCCGUCCAAAAGCCCACAUUACAAUCCAAAGAAAUACCUUCUGAUCAGUCGUCAAAAGAUGCCAAGUCAAGCAAAUAGAGAUGAUUCAUGUCAGGGGCAACACUCUGGUCCAAACAAGGAAAAUGAAAAUGAGUGAGUCUUAUUGGUGAAAACCCUCAAACACCGUAAGGAGACGAGAGUUGAGAGAAAUCAAAAUGAGAGUCUUAUUGGUGAAAACCCUCAUGGGCACCGUAAGGCGACGGGAGUUGAGAGAAAUGAAAAAUGAGAGAGUCUUAUUGGUGAAAACCCUCACGGGCACCUUAAGGAGAAAGAGAGUUGAGAGAUGAACAAAUGAAAGAGGUCUGCUGGUGGAAACCUUUUAGGGCACAGCAGGAUGAACAAGUUCAAGGUUUGGUUGAAGAAAUUGGGUUACGAAAUUUUGGGGCAACAAAGCAUAGCGAUUGAGAGUUGAUUGGUUGGACAGACUGGGCCGACUAAUCCGAAAUGUAUGGCAUGAACAUUGGUACCAGCUGUUCCACGCAGGUAACUCUCUUUUCCUUUUCCCUUUUAGCAGUCAUCCAGUCUUGGAUUCUUCUUAUCCUUAACGCUCAAAGUCAUUGCAUUUCAUGUUCUUUUGGUUUCUAUUUCUCUAAGAUGUUUCAAGGUCAAUUUUGUUUGAGCAAGUAAGAAAGAAUUUCAAAGAUUAGUACCAGCUCCCAAAAGUGCAAAGCACAGUGUGUCCAGAAUAUUACCAAAGACAGCAUGAUGUAAAGCAGGAUAUAAAGAAUUGCCGGAAGCUUCAUCGGUGGAAUGAUUUGGUAAUCUCAAGAUAAAUGCAAAGAUUCUAAUAGAGGGUAAGGGAUAUAAUAAACAGUCUGGAACACUCGGUUCAUCUAAGGUCGUGAGGUUUGAAAGCCAGUCAGGAAAUUAGGAGGUUCAGGGCUAGUUCGGAGAAGCUAGUCAAAACAAAGCAUGACAGCAGAGAGGCCACCUUCAACUAGAAUGCCACAAACUAACCACCAUGUUUCAAAUUGACAAGAUUUUUCUUUGAUUGAAACAUGGGCAAAAAUUUCUGGUUGUCUCGAGGAAACCCUUCGCAAGGGAAAAAGCAAGCACCAGACAGGUAUGGCCGUAAAUUUUCAGGACCUUCCUGGAAAAUGGAACCUAGUUAAAGUUCAAAAUAAUCAUGAAUAGCCAAAAGAAUAUAAGUCGGUUUCAAAAUUUUGGUUCUGGAGAUGGAAUUCAGUUAGAAGUUGUCAGGACCCUCAUGGAAAAUGGGACCUAGUUUUAAAAAAUGAGCAGCAAAACAUAGCAUAAAUGUAUCCCAGAGGAAUAUAAGUUGGCUUCAAGUUUUAAUUUUAUGAUAAAAUUCAAUUCGAAGUUUUCAGGACCUUCCUGAAUAAUGGGACUUAGCUUUAUGAUUUCAAAUAGAUAAGAAUAUCUAGUAUAAGUUCUGCUGUAGGGUAGUAUAAUUCAGCUGUAAGGAAUUGUCACUCUUAGAAUGAAAUUUGACUUUGAAUUGUCAGGACCCUCAUGGAUAAUGGGACGUAGCUUUAAUAUUUUCUGAGAUAACAAGAUGUAGUGAAAGUCUGACCUUUAGAAGAUAUAGUUUAGUGUUAAAAUUGUCGUUAGUUAAGAGUUGUCAAGUACCUCCUGGAUAAUGGGACGUAACCUUAAUACUUUUCUAGAUAACAAGAUAUAGUGGAAGUAAUACCUUUAGAAGACCUAACGUAUAUUUAAAAUUGUCAUUUAAUUAAGAGUUGUCAGGACCCUCCUGGAUAAUGGGUGGUAGUUUUAAGACCCUCUUAGAUAACUAGACUUAGUGGAAGUCAUACCUUUAGAAAACAUAAUUCAGCUUUUUAGACUGUCAUUUAACUAAGAGUUGUCAGUACCCUCCUGGAUGAUGAGAUCUAUCUUUCAAAUUCUUAGUGAUAUUUGGUAACAUGAUUUAAUUAACACUCACAGAUGUGCCCAACCACCAAACCGGGGUAGAAAAUUUUCUUUGUGUUGUCUAUUUUUGUUGAAAUCGGGCACCCAGCUGGAGAACAAGGGGAUACAAUUCAAGUUUCGGCCAUCAGGAGCCUACUUGGAGAAUAAGUGAAUACAAUUCAAGUUUUGGCAAUCCGGCACCCACCUGGAGAACAAGGGAAUAUAAUUCAAGUUUGACAAUCAGGCAUCCACUUGGAGAACAAGGGAAUUAGUUCAAGUUUGGUAAUCAGGCACCCACAUGGAGAACAACGGAAUAUUAAGUUUGGUAAUCAGGCAUCCACCUGGAGAACAAGGGAAUAUAAUUCAAGUUUUGGUAAUCAGGCACCCACCUAGAGAACAAGGGAAUACAGUUCAACUUUUUGGCAAUCAGACGCCCACCUGCAGAACAAGAGAAUACAAUAAAAGUUUUGGCAAUCAGACGCCUACCUGGAGAACAAGGGAAUACAUUUCAAGUUUUUGGCAAUCAGUAACCCACCUGGAGAACAAGGGAAUACAGUUAAAGUUUUUGGAUAUCAGGUGCCCACCCGGAGAACAAGGGAAUACAGUUGAAGUUUUUGGCAAUCAGGCGCCCACCUGGAGAACAAGAGAAUAUAGUUAGAAGUUUUUAGCAAUCAGGCGCCCACAUGGAGAAAAAGGGAAUACAAUUCAAGUUUUUGCUAAUCAGGCGCCCAUAUGGAGAACAAGGGAAUACAGUUCAAGUUUUGGGAAUCAGGCACCCACCUGGAGAACAAGUGAAUAUAGUUAAAGUUUUGGCAAUUAAGCGCCCACCUGGAGAACAAGGGAAUACAAUUUAAGUUUUUGGAAAUCAGGCGCCCACCUGGAUAACAAGGCAAUAUGAUUCAAGUUUUGGUAAUCAGGUGCCCACUUGGAUAAUGAGGGAAUAAAAUUUAAGUUUUGGUAAUCAGGCGCCUACCUAGAGAACAAGGGAACACAGUUCAAGUUUUGGCAAUAAGGCGCCCAUCUCGAGAACAAAGGAAUACAAUUCAUGUUUUUAGUAAUCAGGCACUCACCUGGAUAAUGAGGGAAUAUGAUUCAUGUUUUGGUAAUAGGGUGACCACCUGGAUAACGAGGGAAUACAAUUCAAGUUUUGGUAAUCAGGCGCCCACCUGGAGAACAAGGAAACACAGUUCAAGUUUUGGCAAUCAGGCGCCCACCUAGAGAAAAUGGGAAAACUAUUUAAAUUUCAAGGAAAAAUAGUUCAAGUUCAGCCAUCAGGCGCCCAUAUGAAGAACAAGGGAAAGCAGUUCAAUGUUCAAGUAAAAACAGUUCAAGUAUAGCAAUCAUGCACCUACCUGGAGAACAAGGAAAGACAGUCCAAGUUUCGAAAAAAUAUAGUUCAAGUCUAGUAAUCAGGCAUCCACCUGGAGAAAAGGAAAAGCAUUUUAGAUUACAAUUCAAGUCGGCAACAAAGGAACUUCACCUGGAGAAUACAAGUCCGCAUGGCAACAAGAAUCACAAGAUCAAGUUUGAAGAUAUAGAUAGGCUUUUGUAAUUCAUAGAUCAUAGUUUACUCUAGCUUCUUUUAUUUUUAUCAUGAUGUAAUAAGGAGCUUAGUAAGCAGUAGCAGCAGCAGCGACAGUGAAAUCAGAGCUUCAUGGUAGUCCCAGCUACCAGCAUUCCCAAACUACACUGACCUGAUUCCUUUUUAUCCAAGGUUAUGCAGGCAACCUCGAACGCAAGGUGCAGUCAAAUCUUUAAAAAAUGCUUCCCAUGGAGUAUUCAAAUGGUAACAACCGCUCGUAAACACUCACUUUAUGUUUGCACGAAAACUCUUCAUAUUUCCGAGCAAAGAGGGGCAGCUGUGAGCACGUGAUUUUUGCCCUAUAUGAGUUACUCUCAUAAAUUCAGAACAAAAAGAGCUUUCCGUGGUUUGCAAUUUUUGCGAAGUUUUUGUGGCAUUUUAUGUUAAUUAUUUUCACUUGUCUAUGCAUUUUAAUUAAAUGAAAAUACAAAAUGAAUGCAUUUGUAUUUAGAAUUUAGUUUAGAAUUAUAGGAUUAAUUUGAAAUUAAGUUAUUUUAUAAAAGGGAAAAAAUCACAGAAAUAGUUUAAUUUGCACCUUUUGAUUUUAGCUUUGAUUCUGCGUAGUUUUUCUUUUAGUUUGUUUUUAAUUAAUUGUGAUAAUUUUUAGCUAGGCUUAAUUAGUAUUUUUUCAGGUUAAUUUAGUUUUAGGAUUUAACUUUGGUUUUUAGUUUAAUUUUAAAAAAAAGGGAAGAUAAGGAAUAAAAAUAAAAAUAAGAGAAAUUGAAUUAAUUGGUUUUUUAGAUUUUGGAUGGUUUUAAUAAAUUACCCAAGCCCAAUGUCUCCCCUCUCAAAAACACAAUCGGACCCAGCCUAGUCUAACCUGUUACCCAGUCCAACCCCCGUCCCCUGCCAAGCGACACUGUUUAGUCAAGUUAGAUCUGAGCCGUCGAUGAUCUUUGAUACAACGGCUCUAAUACUUGGGGUCAUUUAGUAUACUAAUGUCCUAACCUAUCACCCCUCGUUUCAUCUCCUCCCCAAACCCCUCUCAGAGACGCCUUGUAACCCUAGCCGCCGCCCAAAAAUUCCCUCGGCGCCACUCCAAACCGCCCAAAAACUAUACUACAGACCCACCUUGACCUCCUCUCCCCAAAUCUCAAACCAACUUCCCUCGAAUCUAUGUGGAACUCGUCAAAUUUUGAAUCUGAAGCGUGAGUCCUUGAAGCCAAAUCCAAACUCGUUUAUGCAGAGUUAUUGCUCCAGUUAUCAUGAGCUUUUAGGGUUGAUUUUGAUGUUAUUUGGGGAUGAAAUCGGAGUGUCAAGUCCCAGGUUCGAGCUUUAGUCA